GACGAACGCUGGCGGCGCGCCUAACACAUGCAAGUCGAACGAGCGAGAGAGAGCUUGCUUUCUCAAGCGAGUGGCGCACGGGUGAGUAACGCGUGAGGAACCUGCCUCAAAGAGGGGGACAACAGUUGGAAACGACUGCUAAUACCGCAUAAGCCCACAGGUCGGCAUCGACCAGAGGGAAAAGGAGCAAUCCGCUUUGAGAUGGCCUCGCGUCCGAUUAGCUUGUUGGUGAGGUAACGGCCCUGCAAGGCAACGAUCGGUAGCCGGACUGAGAGGUUGAACGGACACAUUGGGACUGAGACACGGCCCAGACUCCUACGGGAGGGAGCAGUGGGGAAUAUUGCACAGUGGGGGAAACCCUGAUGCAGCGACGACGGGUGGAGGAAGAAGGUCGUCGGAUUGUAAACUCCUGUUGUUGAGGAAGAUAAUGACGGUACUCAACAAGGAAGUGACGGCUAACUACGUG
rnacentral:rRNA from 1 species